GUCCCUGUAGAUUAGUGGUUAGAUCACCACGUUGUGGCAAUUUGGCUGACAACCCGUGGCGACGCAGGCUCGACUCCUGCCAGGGACA